rnacentral:rRNA from 1 species
CAGCGCCUACGGGGGGCAGCAGUGGGGGAUAUUGCACAAUGGGGGGAACCCUGAUGCAGCGACGCCGCGUGGGUGAAGAAGCGCCCCGGCGCGUAAUGCCCUGUCAGCAGGGAAGAAGAAGGACGGUACCUGACCAAGAAGCCCCGGCUAACUACGUGCCAGCAGCCGCGGUAAUACGUAGGGGGCAAGCGUUAUCCGGAUUUACUGGGGGUAAAGGGGGCGCAGACGGCGAUGCAAGCCAGGAGUGAAAGCCCGGGGCCCAACCCCGGGCCUGCUCUU